rnacentral:tRNA from 1 species
GGAUGGGUGGCCGAGCGGUUUAAGGCACCGGUCUUGAAAACCGGCGUAGGGGCGACCCUACCGUGGGUUCGAAUCCCACCCCAUCCG